CCUACGGGAGGCAGCAGUGGGGAAUAUUGGACAAUGGGCGAAAGCCUGAUCCAGCCAUGCCGCGUGUGUGAAGAAGGCCUUCGGGUUGUAAAGCACUUUCAGUGGGGAAGAAAGCCUUGGGGCUAAUACCCUCGAGGAAGGACAUCACCCACAGAAGAAGCACCGGCUAACUCCGUGCCAGCAGCCGCGGUAAUACGGAGGGUGCGAGCGUUAAUCGGAAUUACUGGGCGUAAAGCGCGCGUAGGCGGUCUGAUAAGCCGGUUGUGAAAACCCCGGGCUCAACCUGGGAACGGCAUCCGGAACUGUCAGGCUAGAGUGCAGGAGAGGAAGGUAGAAUUCCCGGUGUAGCGGUGAAAUGCGUAGAGAUCGGGAGGAAUACCAGUGGCGAAGGCGGCCUUCUGGACUGACACUGACGCUGAGGUGCGAAAGCGUGGGUAGCAAACAGGAUUAGAUACCCCAGUAGUC
rnacentral:rRNA from 1 species